AGCGAACGCUGGCGGCAGGCCUAACACAUGCAAGUCGAACGGACCCUUCGGGGUUAGUGGCGGACGGGUGAGUAACACGUGGGAACGUGCCUUUAGGUUCGGAAUAGCUCCUGGAAACGGGUGGUAAUGCCGAAUGUGCCCUUCGGGGGAAAGAUUUAUCACCUUUAGAGCGGCCCGCGUCUGAUUAGCUAGUUGGUGAGGUAAUGGCUCACCAAGGCGACGAUCAGUAGCUGGUCUGAGUGGAUGACCAGCCACAUUGGGACUGAGACACGGCCCAAACUCCUACGGGAGGCAGCAGUGGGGAAUCUUGCGCAAUGGGCGAAAGCCUGACGCAGCCAUGCCGCGUGAAUGAUGAAGGUCUUAGGAUUGUAAAAUUCUUUCACCGGGGACGAUAAUGACGGUACCCGGAGAAGAAGCCCCGGCUAACUUCGUGCCAGCCGCCGCAGUAACAC
rnacentral:rRNA from 1 species